AAAUUCGGAUUUUUUUAAAUUAGAUUAGUUAAGGAGUUUAAUAUAAUUUGUAAUACUUAAUACAUAAUAAUUUGUAAUACUUUGGUUUUUAAAAACUGUUUUUAAAACUUUGUUAUUUUUCAGGUUAUCUGUCAGGUAGUAUUAAUAAUAGUUCCAUUUAACCAACUGGAAAGGCGAAGGUGUCACGCCAUACAUCCUUACAACUUUCGUAUAUUCCCUGAGUAUCCCUGCCUGCAGCUUUCUGCGAGUAUAUUCUUAGGUUCGAUAUUUCGAGCGGUGUACGAUAUUGGAGUCAUUUGGAAGAUAAAGCCAAAUUAGCCUCUAAAAUGUUCGAAGUCCUCAAUUUCACGCCUGGACUUGCGCUUUACAAAGCACAAGUCCAGCUUCACGUGGAGUACGUGAGGCCCAUCACUGGGCCAAGGCUACCAGGUAGUAGGUACCAUUUGACCCCAUACAAAGACAGACCACUCAGAUUGUCGAUAAUCUCAUUCUCACGGAUCGCUUGAAACCUCUUAACAACAGGUGGGCCAUGAGCUUGGCCCCCCAUCUAAGCAAUAAAAAAAAACUUCCCGCCACCGGAGCAGAUUUCAUCCAUACAAUCUGGAACCGCUGUGUUCAUCGAUAGUGCGUUUCCAGAGAUCAUUCAGCUGUGUACCACCUGGCUCUAGAAUGAACUCUCCUCCACGGUGUUUCUCGAGCGCUACGAUAUGUCCUUCAUCAAACGCGGCCUGGAGGACCUACACCUACCUAUUCAAUGAUUGAUAGCGACUUGGCUAUGCCCCUGGCAUUGCUGACGUUCAUGAGCGACGGUAACCACUUAUCAUCAGGUGAGCUAUAUGCUCGUUGGCCUACUAAGGCAAUAAAAGAAUAAAAACAUGUAAAGUAAUGACGUAUUUUAUUUUAUUUCGUUUCAUUUUACAUUUUAAAUACUUAUCAGCCUUUAUUUCAAUUUUUGUUUAAUGGGCUAUACAUUUGCGUAUCCAGUGAACGAAUUAAAAAAACGCAAACAAACUGUAAAAUGUGCAAAACAAAACAAUAACAAAGAGUAAAGCAAAUAUAUUAAGUGUAUAAUCUAUGAGUAAAGCUGAUAAAGUAUUAAAUGAAUAAACGGCAUUUUGUUAAAGUUCAAUAAAUCCUAUGUGGAUAACUAAUAAAUAAACUUUGACUAAAAAUUUAUGAUUUGUACUUUUGUACAUUUAAACAUUUCAAUGGAGUAUAAAACUAUGCUACGUUUGCAGAAAUGUCUGUACUUUAAAAUAAAUCUAUUUGUUCUCUGGUGUUUUGUGACAGGGUUUUUCUUGUUUAUGAAGUUUGAUCAACUUAGCCACCUGACAAAAUACUUAUCAGCUACAGUUUUUUUGCUACUAUCUGGAAUAGAAAUUGUACGAUUGUACCUUGGUAGAUAUGGAAAUUUGUCUUGCAGAGUUCCAGAAUUAGCUGUAUUCCUCAUGUUGACAAUUUUAAUGCAAAUGCCACUAGUUAGCUUCUUCCUUUUUCAUCCAUAUUUGCUGAGUACACCAACAGAAAUAACGCUGCAUGCUAUGUUUUGGAUGACUACUAUUAUUGAGAUUGUGUACGGGUUUAGAGCAUUAAAACAAGCUUCUUCUCUAGCUAAAAGCAUUUACCUGUCCACAACUCAGAAUCAGUGAGUUAGUAGAGUAGUAAAAAUAUAAGGUAAUAUUGUAGUAAUAUUAUGGUAGAAUGCAGCAUAAUUUAUAUAGUAUCAGACUGUAAUUAGUAUGAGCACUAAUCAUGGUAUGAUAAAUACAAAACAUUAAAUAAUAGCAUUGUCAAUGUGAAAAAGCAUUUUUUGUUAUGUCCUUUUUUUUAUCGAAAAUCAAAUUUCUUUUGCAAAGAGACUUAGGAUAUCUAUAUAUUUCAUAACUUUAGAUUUCUUAAUUUGAAACAAAGGUAAACGCAGUAUACAUUUUUCAUUUAUUAAAAUUAGAAAAUAAACCUUAAUGGGUUGAGUUUUUAAAACAAACAAAACAUAGGCAGCAACUUUGUUUUCCCUGUCAUUGCUGAUAUCCAUGAGUGAUAGAGGCUACUUAUGCCCAUCAGGUGGGUCAUGCCAUAUGCUUAAUAAAAAAAAAAAAAAAUUUUUUUUCCCUAAUAGCCUAAUUCAUGCUUUAGGGCACUGAUGGGUAUGAUAACUACUCUUGCAUGUACUCUUUUGAACAGAUAGAACAGCUGUUGUAUCAAUGCAAUGAAAAUUCAAUCUUCAAAGCACUCUCAUUUAAUAUGUGGUUGAUAUACUUACAAUAACCACUUAAAACCAGGAUGAAUGUGCGUUCAUGCUAAUUUUAACCAUGACAAAACAGAUCAGUCAUUAUGGCAUAAUGACCAAAGUUUUUUAAAUGAAACAUACUUUAAAUGAAAAGACUUUAUUGUCAUAAUACAUUUGAUGCUGGAACCAUAUCUUAAGAUAUUUAAUAAAAAUUGCUUUAUUUAGCAAAGCUUUGGCAUAAUAAACAUAAAUAUAAUUAUUUAACAUAGCUUGUUAUAUAAUAGUUAAUUACAAAAGUAAAUUAAGUUUUUUUUAAACAAUACUGUCAUAAAUUACAUUCAACUUUAAAAAAUAGCGUCAAGCACACAAAAAAUAUUAGUCAUAACUUUAAAAUAAUGAUUGCACUUUUUCUUAAGUAACUACUUCAAACAAAAUGGAAUACAGAAAACUUCUCCGUUCAUAUAAAAGUAAAUCAAUACUCUGACUCAUAUUUAUUAAAUUUAUUAUUGGUAUCAAAAUAUAUAAGAUUUCAUUAAAAUGGUUUUCAACAUUCAUAUUUAAAUAUUUGUAUUUGCCAUUAAACUCUUCAAGGCACUGGUUUUUUAUUUGUAGAAACACUGGGAAAACUUCAAGGGAAAAAUGAUAUAAUUUUGACACAGUUGAAUGGAUCUACAAAGUACAGUGUUUAAAUGUAAAGCGAUUUAAGUGCAAUGUGAUAUUGAAACUCGCCAAUUUUGUCUCGAAACUUUUGAUAUCACCAUCAACUCCAAAAGAUUUGAUCAUUUGUGCAAAAGUUGGUGACAUCUUGCAGAUGAACUGAAAUGGAAAUACAAAAAAUUUAAGUAUUAUUUUUAAACUGAUAAGUAUUGACUUUAAUUAGAAUUUUAUUUUUCAAAUGUUUUUCAAUUUACGCCUUGAAUGUGGUGUAAUUUAUUAUUAUAGUUUACUUAAAAAAAAAGUCAUUGCAGGAAGGUUGGCAAAUGUGAAAUAUUGAUAUUAUUUUGUACAGCUAUAGAUGGAUAAAAGGAUAGUUUACGAAAGGAAAUUAAUGAGGCAUAGUGAAAAAUAAAAUAUAAAUAUUAAGAAAAAGUGGCUUGCGCAUGGCGAUGCUUCGCCACAUUGUACACAGACACAGACUACUAUGUAUAGACUGAUGUAGGGAUGCUCGAUGGUCAUCGAUAUUAAAACAAAAAACAUCGUAACAUCGAUGUCACGGACAUCGAUAUCGAUAUCGAAAUUCUGUUGGCUGGUCAACCCUAUAUCAACAGCACAAUAGGUUGAUAGGUUCUGAACUUCAAGUUAUUAUUUUUAGUCAAUUAACAAAAAGUAUUGGAACUUAUAACAUGUACCUGUGCUCUGAUAUCUUUAAUUUAUUUUUCAUUUUGUUGAAUUAUAAAAACGUUGUGAUUUUAUGGUUGUUUUAUUAAUUGAUCAAUAUUUGCAAAAAAUAUUGAUAUCCUGCUAACAAUGUCAUUAUCGAUGCCAUAAUCGAUGUUUAUCCGACGUCGAACAUCCCUAGACUGAUAUAUAUUAUGUAUGUAUGUUUAUACAUGUAUAUAGUAUACAUGUAUAUUCAUUUAAGGCGAUGCAUUGCCACGCAAGCAAUCGGUUUUAUUCGUAUAGCCAUUUCACAUCGAAAUAAUAGACUUACUAUAAAUAAUUGUUGUGUGACCCAACUGUGAUACUUCUUUACAGAACCUUCAUAUGCUUUGGUGAAUACAUAUUUCAUAUUUAUCUCCUUUUUUGCCUGUAAAUUUUCUAGUAUAUCUACAAAUACUAAUUCAAAAAACAGCAGAGCUCUGAAACAAAACAUUUUGCAAUAAUAUAUAAUUAAUUUGUGUUUUUAUUUUAUCGUUAUAUGCAGAUAAAAAUAAAGCCCAUCUGAGGUAAGUAGUGGUCACUGUCUCUCAUAGACAUUAACAAUGCCAAGGAUUCAGCCAAGUUGCUGACUACUGCCCAGGACUUUCUACAAAUCUCGUUUGACGAAGGACAUGUCUAGGGGCUCAGGAAACACAAUGUAAGGGAGUUCAUUCCAGAGCUGGAUGGUUCCUGGCAAAAAAAGGUUCUCUGGAAACGCACUCUGGAUAAAUGCAGAAGUUCUAAAGAGUAAGAAGAGUUAGAAUUGAAAUAAGGGGUUCUAUUCAGAAACCACUGAACAGGAGUCAGAAGAUAGGUAACAGGGUUUUAUACUGGGUCAGAGAAUGACAAAGACAAUAAAGAGACAUAAGGAGGGAGCCUCAUCUGAGAGUAUCUGAGAUACUGGAAUUACUUGAGAACAAUUCUGAAAUAAAAUGGUUUUGCUUUCUUUAUGCCACUGAUGACAUCUUGAAAAGCAAUGACAUUCAAAUAAUUUGAAAUAAAAAAAAUAACUACAGUGCAAAAGCUGUGCCAAGGCGUUCUGUAAUUUAGAUAUAAUUUGAUUAGAUAUAAAUUAGAUAUAAAUUGGUCAACAAAAUAUAAUGUGGAAUUUAAUUUGGUUUUUAAGUUUUUAACCUGAAUAAGUGAUGGUUUGACUAUUUUAUGUAAAAUGAUAAUAAAACAUAGUUGUGAAUGGA